GAAGGAAAACAAAAUCUUAACAAAAGAUUGGUAUUUUGUUUUCCAAAGGAUUUGGGAAGAAAGUAUUAACAAAAUUGGACUAUUUUACCCUCAUCAAAAAAAUAUAAUUUAUUAACA